CGAACUGCUCAGCUCGGAGGUUUCAGUUGUGACCUGUGCAAUGAAAGCGUCUUUUGCCAUUCCGCUAGCCAUAUUAUGCUUGAUCCAGAUGAUACAUACUGCUAGUGGUACUGAUAGCGAUGAGGAGAAUCAGACGACACCAGCUUAUGUGACAACACCAAGUUAUAUGACGACAACAGAAGAUGGCAAAGAAGGAGCUGGUGUCUUUAUUAAUGAUGCGAAGAAUGCAAGCAUCGGCAGUCCGCAAAACAAGAAGCGCCAAUUGAGCAGAAAUACCUCUUUUCGGUUACGGAGAAGAACAACCACUACAACUCCGACGUCAAGCUAACCGCCAGAAUCCAUAUUUUGGAAAUUUCGUGUUUUGUAAAGAAGAAAUAUUUAAAUUGGCAACUUAUACAGAAGGAUUUGAGAUUGGAUUCAAUUGAUUAUUUCAAACGGCAGAAAGAUCGUUUUGAUAUGAUUGAAGCUUUUCUAUUGCAAUUGUAAUUGUAAACCAUAAAAUAGUGAAUAAAUAUUAAAUGAAUGU